GACGGAGGGUGCAAGCGUUACCCGGAAUCACUGGGCGUAAAGCGUCUGUAGGCGGCGUAUCAAGUUAGAGGUGAAAGCCCCCGGCCCAACCGGGGAAUUGUCUCUAAAACUGAUAUGCUAGAGGAAUGGAGAGGUGAGUGGAAUUCGGUAUGUAGGGGUAAAAUCCGUUGAUCUACCGAGGAACACCAAAAGCGAAGGCAGCUCACUGGCCAUUUCCUGACGCUGAGAGACGAAAGCGUGGGGAGCGAUUGGG
rnacentral:misc_RNA from 1 species